UAGAAACCAACAUGAGACCAAUACAAACAAGGGCAGGAGUAGCAGGAUCUUUGGCGGAGCUAGGGUUUCGACCGAUGGUGGUAAUGCAGAUAGGGAAGGAGAUCGUAGGGCAGAUGAUGUAGAUGGGGCAUGAGUGUUCUCGGGUCUACACUGCGUGGGGGCCGACGUCUUUGCUUUGGGCUUAUUUUUCCUAUUUUGACCGAUCUUGUGUUUUUCUGUCGUGGUCGACGAUUAGGUGUUUAUGUACAAAAGAGGAUGCUUUCUCUUCCUAUUAUGCACAGGGUCCCUGUUGGUUCCAGGUUUUUGCAUUUUGAUCCAUGCUUCUUGUUGCACCCUCCUCGUCUCCCAGUUUUUCGCAGCUGUUUUUGAUGAGGGUGGAGUUGUAAGCACAGGGGAGGUUGCUAUCUGUAGGGAGGGCGCCUAUAUUAAUGUUAAAGGCUAUCAUUUUUGGUCCUCUCUGUGCCUGUCUCUAUUUCUCCUUAAUGUGUAUUUUGGGAUCUUUCAUUGAUGUUCCCUUUGUGGGGGCCUCUCCGAUAGUGGCUUGGUGGAUUUAUUGGCCUCUUUGGGUUUAUUGGUCACUGGCGUUGUGGGGUCGUUCCUUUGCUUGGGUUGUGCUGUCGGCUCUUCAAUGUGUAUGCCCAGAUUGUUUUCCUUCUAGGGUCAAUUCUGAAAUGUAUUGUGGGUUGUGUUUUUAUGGUGAUCGGUGGAUUGCUGGUGAUAGCGAGGAUUCUUUGGAGGCUAACAUAGAGGAGGUUUUCUUCGUGGGACAACAUAGAGGAGGGCUGCUCUGAUGUAGAUUGUGGGCUACACUUUUUUAUGGUGUUAAGGGAAAUGCGGUUGUCACUAAGGAUUCUCUGGAGGCUGACAUAGAGGAGCUUGCUCUUGGGACUUGAGGAUGAUGUAGAGGAGGUCGCCUCUAAGGGUUGGUCCUCUUUUUGCUUGGGCUCUUUAUCCUUAGUGUGCUCAUUUGGCUUAGUUUGGUCCUGCUCUAGUUGAUGUGGGAUUAUGUUUGUGGAUGCCUCUCUAUGUUCUUAUCGGGUAAACCUUGUAAGUGUUAGGGUUUGAUCAAAAUGUUUUUGAUUAAUGAGGAUGUUGUGCCACUUUCAUCCCGGUUGUGGAAUAUGCCUCUUCUCCUCGGUUGUUGAAGACCAUCUUCAAAAUUAGUUGUCUUUCCAAAUUCUUAUGUUAUUCAUUUGUGGAUGUUAAACAUCAUAAACAUUGUUUUGGGCCUUCGGUCUAAGUUUUUUAUGGAUAAAGAUUAUGGGAGUUCUUU